rnacentral:rRNA from 1 species
ACGCACGCUGGCGGCGUGCUUCACCCCUGCCAGUCGAACGGAAAGGCCCUGCUUUUGUGGGGUGCUCGAGUGGCGAACGGGUGAGUAACACGUGAGUAACCUGCCCUUGACUUUGGGAUAACUUCAGGAAACUGGGGCUAAUACCGGAUAGGAGCUCCUGCUGCAUGGUGGGGGUUGGAAAGUUUCGGCGGUUGGGGAUGGACUCGCAGCUUAUCAGCUUGUUGGUGGGGUAGUGGCUUACCAAGGCUUUGACGGGUAGCCGGCCUGAGAGGGUGACCGGCCACAUUGGGACUGAGAUACGGCCCAGACUCCUACGGGAGGCAGCAGUGGGGAAUAUUGCACAAUGGGCGGAAGCCUGAUGCAGCAACGCCGCGUGCGGGAUGACGGCCUUCGGGUUGUAAACCGCUUUCGCCUGUGACGAAGCGUGAGUGACGGUAAUGGGUAAAGAAGCACCGGCUAACUACGUG